CUUCCCAGACGUGGCUCCAGGCUGACCUGCUGCAGGGGGACUAGUGGGGGAGAAAGAGCGGGCUGCUAUCAUCUGUAGAGAUAGGGGGCUUACUGGCCAACAGAGUGGUGAAAGGAUACUUAGUGUUGCUUGAAGAAAUUCCUCAGGAGGCUCAAGAGUGCCUGGAAACAAACACCCAGGAUUUCUUUGCCACUUAGCAACCCAGGCAGUGGAACGUGACUUACGUCUCUAAGCUUGCAGUGAGCACGGUCCUGGCAAGCUCAGCAUUCCUAGGGGCUGUACUGAGAAGAGACUCCCUCUCCUCAAAGGUACCUGAAUACCAAAAACCUUUCCUCAAAGCUUCUUACUCUGGAGUCAGAAUCCUCCCUGAUGUGGUAAGAAUUUUGUGAGAAGUGGUAGGAAACCUGGUCUUUUAGUUCAUAACUAGCGUGUUAGAAGGGACCGAACCCGGUCAUAGGGACAGGAGACUUGGCCUCCAGGCUCGCCUCUGCCCUGUCUUUCUGAAUGGCUCUGGACAAGUUCCUUCGUUUGCAAAAUAAGACUGUUGGUCUAUGACGGAUUAGCUUUAAUACUCAAGUAUUAGAGUACUGGUGAAAUGUGACAAUAUGUGAAAUGUGAAAAUUAUAAAGUAUGACUUAAAAUAAAUAUCUUAGGAGGUACGUAUGCUUUUUACAGCUGGGGAAUGUAAGUCCAACCCUGGGAUUUAUAAGAAACUACCACAGAAGGAGGACUCCUGGGCUCCCACUCAGGCCUCAAACAGGCAUUACAAAACGAUAAAGCUAUUUGCUUCUGAAUCCAACCCUCCCAAGCUGGUUCCUCCUUCACCUGCCCUGGAAGGAAGGGCGGCAAUUUCCCUUCAAGAUGCUGAAGGUAUGAAAGCUUUGUCCGCAAGCUGGGGUAUGAAACUUUUUAAGAUUAAACAUAAGACCAAGCACACACUUUUCAGAGCUGCUAAGGCCCACACUUUGUGUUUAGCUUUGGGUUUCCAAGACCCAAUCUGAAAGGCAGUGCUUUCUCUACCUUUAAAGAAGAAAAUGGGAAAGAGAGGUGGGCUUGGGGGUUCUUAUUUUGCAAACCUCCCUGGAGACAGUGCAAAAACUGCUCCUCUGCAGCAGCAGGUAAACACCUGAGCUGGGAAGGAAAGCUGCCUGCUAGUCCCAAUGAAUACCGGCAAGACAAGGGCAGGCAAGAGGCGGGGCAGCUUCCCUGCCAGCUGAAAGCUCACUUUUGUUUGAACCAUGUCCCAACCACCCGCUGCCUCCCCUCAGGAGGGAGGGAUAAAACCAAGAAGGGUGUGAUUUUCCCGAGGGGCCAUUGCUAAAAUGAAGUCGGGCAUCGUGUGGGGCGGGAAGCUGUGGCUGCAGGAAGCCAGGGGUGAUGUCCUUCCUGCAGAGUCUCUCGAGCCCCAAACUUGCGGGAAGAAAGGCCUCCCCCCUUUCACCUCGUUCGGGUUGGUUUGCGCUGGAAUGCCACGCUUUUCAAAGUGUCUGAGUGAUAGGCACUUUCUAAAUAUGUACAGCGAUGGCCUGAUAAGCAACUAAGCGUCUGGCUUCGCGGGUUCAUGCCCGAGGCUGUGCGGUCGGGAAGGGUGGGGGCUCAGCUGAAACCUCAGCUCCUCCUUACAGGCCUGGCUUGGAAACGGUUCUGUUCACUGCUGGGGUCCCCAUUUUCCAACUUUUACUUCUGAGACUGGAAGAAGACAAGAGACACCUCCCCACCCCCUAUCCUCUGCUUCCACGCCCGCGACUCAGCCCAGGUGACCCAAACGGCUGAGUCAACUUGGCGCAAUCGGAGCGUCCCCAUUGCGCCGGCCGCCCCCAGCCCCCUUCGCCCCUCGCUUGGCCCCACAAUGCGCCCUUGUGCAGCGCCUGCAGUCAGGCCGGGGAUUUGGCGCAGGGAUGGGGGGAAUAUUCGUCAGAUAUUUAAAACAGAGCCGAGAGAACAAAGCAGGCCUUUGUGCAGUGAGGCGGCCCGGGAGCUGGGAGCCGCCGGCCCCCGAGCACGGUGCUGGGCCAGGCGAAUGCGCAUGCGCGGGGCGACCUGCGCGCUCGGGUUCCGGGCCGGCUUCUACCCAGGACACAUGGCUCAAGAUAAAAUGAUACACCACUUGAGAACCCAAAUUUUCAAUGACUGGAAAGACUAAGACACUUGGGUCACGUAAAAAUCAAGACAUUUGGAAAAUACGCCAUCUUCGGAUGCUAGAAGAAGAUGGAACCUUUUGAUAGGCGUGGGCUUCUUCCGGCUUGUUUAUGCUGGGUGACCGGCUCUUUCAUUUUUGUGUUCACUGUCACUUGGAAUUUGGAAGACAUGCUGGUUGUUGUCAAGGACCUGGCUUUUGUUUUGGGUUGUGGGCUGACUGGAUGGUGUUUGUUUAUUAAAAAAAAAACAAACCGAAAAACGAAAUAGCUAAAUACAAGUGAAGUGUGCAUGGUA